CUAAUGUAUGUGUGUAGCAGAAUGGCAUUUUUUCCCUUCCCUGGGUUUUUUUUUUUUGUAACAACCGACCACCCUUGGCUGUUAACCUCAAAUUGCUCAUUAAAGAAGGGGUUCUCCUGUGUGGCCGCCGUUCAUAUUACCGAACGCACGUGUGCAAACAAACGGUGGCCAUCUUGUCUCUCAAACGUGGACAGCGGUAUAUGGUCGUCGACGGCCUGGAACUAAUUUCGGCUACUGGACUCCGCGAACACUCGGUAAACUAUUACCGCUGCCCAUUCAACUUGGGUAGAACAUUGGCAUAAGGAUAGAGUACAAUGAGUUGUCAUUAAUGGUAAG